UGGGGCCUGGCAGGGGGGAGGGGGGUGUCAUCUGCCUGGCCAACUUUCUGCUUGGUCAGGUCGAGGUGGCCAUCCUCAAGAGCUGCAGGAACCAGGUUGCUGAGGCUGUUUCUGAUGACGCCCUGUGACUUUUUCAGUUCUUGGUCUGAGCGCUCCUGACAUUGGAAUUUGAACAUGCGGUCAGUCCUCCAGCAGACAGGACCCACACGCCAGGCAUUCAGGGCCAUCCAGGGGGUGCUCUGCAGCAUUGAGGGCAGCCACUUAGUUCUCACACCAUGACACUGCUCACCCCUUCCCAGUGUACGACAAGGGUCUGAGCAGGCUGAUGUUGUACUAGCUGCUUUUGUUUUUCAACUGUGAGGGCAGGCCCUGCGGGCCACAGCCCCAGGCUCUGUCUGUCGUACCUGGGGCCCUGCA